CUCAGCCUUGCACGUAGAAGGGCCUGGCCCGCGGUGGAAUGGACGCGGCUGCAGCUGGAAUCGCAUCACUCCCUCCUCCCCUCCCCCAGCACUGACAUACGAGCCCCAGUGUCCUGAGGAUGACUCCAAACAGCGUCGGACCUUCAAGUGGAACCUCAGGCUUGUUAAGGAGUGGCCUGGAACUGCACCAGAUUUUAGGGGUGCCUGGGGAGGCUUAGAGAUGGGAGACGCCCUGACUUGGUUCCUUUCCAGAACAUUUGGGAACACUUGGCUUGGUUUCAGUCACCAAAUGCGGACUCGCCCAGGGUGGACUUAGUUCUGAGGUGGCCUCUUGCUCCCUCUAGUGGUUUAGAAAUCACUGCAGGCGGGUUAAAGACGGGUCUGGUUUUUCUCCGAGGAGGAAUCCGCAUUAACCAUUUAGACAUCUACUGCGCAGUGAAGUCAAUUCAUGACUACGUUUUUGAGCAAUCCAAUAAUUAACCAAAUGCACACACAAUAAGGACUUUGGACCGUCUUGUGGAUCCUUGGAGGACCUUGGGUUCAUUUUACAAUGCAAACCUAACAGGCUGUAAGUACCCAAGGGAUAAUUGAAAAUAUGCUUUAAUCAAAGGCAAUCACCCUGUCAUUGUCAGCCUGUGAAACAUUAGCUCGUGGAGCGGGAUGAGAGCACGCAGUUCUCUUAUCGCUCCAAGAUAACUCCACCAGGAUGACAGAAAAGCAUCAGAUUUGGAGAUGUCACCAGUCUGGAGUCUCAGUUACAUUCAAAUUUCAUGAUAGCCUAUCCUUGGGGAACUGAAUUGUCUCUUUUGAACAAAGACAAUUUCUUAGUUGAGUGAGUUCAGUCAUUUUUUGAUUCAAUAUCA
rnacentral:lncRNA from 1 species